rnacentral:rRNA from 1 species
AUCAAACUUCGAAUGCCGGAUAAAUGGUGCACAGCAGUCAGACAGUGUGAGAUAAGUUUCAUUGUCAAAAGGGAAACAGCCCAGACCUACAGCUAAGGUCCCAAAUGUAUGCUAAGUGGAAAACGAUGUGGAAUUGCGAAAACAACCAGGAUGUUGGCUCAGAAGCAGCCACACAUUAAAAGAGUGCGUAAUAGCUCACUGGUCGAGUGACUCUGCGCGGAAAAUGUAACGGGGCUAAGCAUACAACCGAAGCUUAGGAUUGUCUAAAGACAGUGGUAGGGGAGCGUUCUGUACGGGGCGAAGUCGCAGCGGGAGCAGCGGUGGACUGUACAGAAGUGAGAAUGCCGGAAUGAGUAGCGAGAAUUAUGUGGGAAUCAUAAUGGCCGAAAAUCUAAGGUUUCUUGGGGAAGGUUCGUCCGCCCAAGGUAAGUCGGGAGCUAAGCUCAGGCCGAGAGGCGUAGGCGAUGCACAUACGGUAGAAAUUCCGUAACCACCGAAACUUAAACAGAGGGACACUUCGAAAUAGCGGAACCCGGGCGUUGGUUGACCCGGGCGAAAGGGAGCGAAAUUAGAGUAGCGAAGUCCGCGAUGUUCGGAGGCGAGAAAAGCUCUGAGGUAUGCUAAGGUGCCCGUACCGCAAACCGACACAGGUAGAUGAGGAGAGAAUCCUAAGGCCAACGGGAGAAGGGUUGUUAAGGAACUCGGCAAAUUGACCCCGUAACUUCGGGAGAAGGGGUGCUCCAGAGAUGGAGCCGCAGAGAAUCGGCCCAAGCAACUGUUUACCAAAAACACAGGUUUGUGCUAAAUCGAAAGAUGACGUAUACGAGCUGACGCCUGCCCGGUGCUGGAAGGUUAAGAGGAGAUGUGCAAGCAUUGAAUCGAAGCCCCAGUGAACGGCGGCCGUAACUAUAACGGUCCUAAGGUAGCGAAAUUCCUUGUCAGGUAAGUUCUGACCCGCACGAAAGGUGUAACGAUUUGGGCGCUGUCUCGGCAGCAGACUCGGUGAAAUCUUAGUACCUGUGAAAAUGCAGGUUACCCGCAACUAGACGGAAAGACCCCAUGGAGCUUUACUGCAGCCUGAUAUUGAAUUCUGGUCAUACAUGUACAGGAUAGGUGGGAGACAAAGAGACGUGCACGCCAGUGUACGAGGAGUCGACGUUGGGAUACCACUCUUGUGUGACCGGGGUUCUAACCUGGUAUCGAGAACAGGUACGGGGAGAGUGUCAGGUGGGCAGUUUGACUGGGGCGGUCGCCUCCCAAAGAGUAACGGAGGCGCCCAAAGGUACGCUCAGAUUGGAUGGAAACCAAUCGUCGAGUGCAAUUGCAGAAGCGUGCUUGACUGUGAGACAAACAAGUCGAACAGGGACGAAAGUCGGGAAUAGUGAUCCGGCGGUGCCGAAUGGAAGGGCCGUCGCUCAACGGAUAAAAGCUACCCUGGGGAUAACAGGCUGAUCUCCCCCAAGAGUUCACAUCGACGGGGAGGUUUGGCACCUCGAUGUCGGCUCAUCGCAUCCUGGAGCUGAAGUCGGUUCCAAGGGUUGGGCUGUUCGCCCAUUAAAGCGGUACGCGAGCUGGGUUCAGAACGUCGUGAGACAGUUCGGUCCCUAUCUGUUGUGGGCGAAGGAGAUCUGCGGAGAGCUGUCCUCAGUACGAGAGGACCGGGAUGGACCUACCGCUGGUGCACCGGUUGUUCCGCCAGGGGCAUAGCCGGGUAGCUAAGUAGGGAAAGGAUAAGCGCUGAAAGCAUCUAAGCACGAAGCCUACUCCAAGAUGAGAUCUCCCAUUCGCAAGAAGUAAGACCCCUUAAAGACGAUAAGGUAGAUAGGCCAGGGAUGGAAGUGCAGUGAUGUACGGAGUUGACUGGUACUAAUCGGUCGAGGACUUAAUCAG